rnacentral:lncRNA from 1 species
AGGAUAGAUCGAGUCGCAUAUAGAUUAGAAUGAUCAAGUUAUUGAAUGGUAGAGUCCUUAGGGUUAUUUUAUUUAUGGAACCGGACUCAGUUUAGAAAGGCCUAAGCUGAGAUGAAAGGAAUUAAGACUGAAUUAAUAACCUGAUUAGGACUAAGGCUAGGAUGCAUCAUGUUUUCUAUUCUUGUGUGUUGAUUUGGUGGAGUGCAGGUUCCCGUUAUCUUUAAGGAUAGUUUCAUAGCAGGAGGCUGGACUAUCUGGAUAACGGUUUGAUUUAAUUGAUUAGUAUUGAUUAUUAUUGCUUAGUUGUUUAGUAGUUAGUACUAAGGGUCUUAGGCCAUAUAGGCCGGACUACUGGUACUAUGGUUAGUCUUGUGGAGUCGAGUGUCUAGUUAGGAUCUGGAACUUUGGCUUUAGGUUAGGUUCUAGAUUGAGUUUGUUUUGUUGUGAGUGUGCCGACAGUAUUUGCGAAACCCGCCCAUACUAGGCUUGUGUAGGGGUGAUUAGUGCUCCUCGGCCUCGUACCCAGCGGGUUCAAGGAAACCCCUUAUUCGCUGAAUCGGGAAGACUCAGACGAAUGGUGUCAUGUACUAUGGCUGAGUAUUACACGACGGUGUAAUGUGGCAGUGACCCGAAGGACUGUGGGCUGUCGCGCGGUGACCCGAAUGACGGUGGGCCGCGGUCGGUUGAAAGUUCCAUCUUCUGGCCUUUGUGGUAGGAAGAUAGGAUAUUGCUGAUAGAGAGGAGGAACACGAAGUCACCAGGGCCCAGGUUAGAGUGUUGUGUUAGUGUGUCGUAGAGGGUUAUGGAACCCUUGAGUAAUGUAGCAUCGAUAUACGGUGUUACGAGUUAGAUCGAGUCGUAGAUACUCAUAGUUAUUAUUGUGAUUGUGGUUGAUUGAUUUACUUGCAGGUUCUGGCAUUAAGACCUAAGUCUGGUUUAGGUACCGGAUUAGGCUUGGUGUGUAUUUGGUUAUUGUAGGCCUGACGUUGUUCGAUCAUGUUCUUGUUUGAUUUACUUGCAGGUUCUGGCAUUAAGACCUAAGUCUGACUGCUUGUGAAGGGUGGUGGAUAUUAAAGCUAUGAGGUAUCAUUGGUUGGCCGAUCAUGUUCUUGUUUGAUUGUUGGAUCGACUAAUGAUACUUGUAUAGUCUAAGUGUCUAACACUACAUGAGUACUGAACUCUGGCGUAUAUAUGGUUAACUAAGGAUUGGUUGUUGACUUGUUUUCUUGCAGGUUCCUGUUACUUGAAGUUAGAUCAUGGCAGGAGGCCAAAUCUAACUCAGUAACGGUUUGCUUAGCCUUAGCUUUUAUUGCAUGCUAGGGCUAGAUUGAUUGUUAUUUUGGGUUGUCUGGGUUAGAGUCUAGGUUGCGGGUAGAGGCCACCAGCUCACUGAGUAACAUUAGGUUACUCAUCCAACUCCGUUGUCCUUUUUUUCAGGUCGCUUUAGGUAAGGAUGAUCGGAUAGGUUGGUGCUGGACAUUAGGACCGCCGGUGUAGAUUUUCAUGCCUUUUGUAAACGGUAUUGAGUUAUGUGUUUUGUUGGCUUGAUUUGGCAUUAGGUCGGGCUCAGUCUCGAAUUAUUCAAUGUAUGGAUAUUUCUCGAAUCAAUAAAGUAAAUGUUUUAUAUGCGCUUCAUGAGUACUCUGAUAUUUGACUAGUUCGGUCUAACACAACGUUAGGUCGUAGUACGGGUUGAAAAGCCUUAGGCCUCGAUCUAACGGAAAACGCUAACUCUUGGCCGGGUUU